UAUCACAGUAUCGCCAGUUGUGCUGUACAACACGGAAUGGAUCAAAUAGUCACCUUCUGCUGUAACAGUUUCCUGGUUCAUUUGGCAAAACAGACAUUAGAGUAAAAUCCUGUGGAAGGCAUUGUUGGUCCUUCGGGCAGACAAAAAUUUCCAUUUCAAGAUUAACACACCUUUCCCCCAGCUCACCCUGCCCUUUAGAGGCUCAGCUCAACAGAAGGGUUCAGUUUACAAAGUCCCAAGUCUGCGGGGCCAGGUGUGUACAAUUAGAUAUUCUUCUUUGCUUUGUCUCCCCAGAACAGUCAGCGAGAAAUAAAUCAAAACAAGGACACAGAGAUAUCUAUAUUUACUUUCAGGGAGCCAGUGCUAGUCUGGCUGGCAGAAUCCAGAGCAGCCAGGCCACACUACUUCUCUGGGAAGCAUCCGUCAAUGGAUGGAGGGAAAGAGGAAGGUGUUUUCUGGACCUGAGGAGCUGGACAGUCCCUGCUGGGACUAGAAUAUAUUGACUGAUCAUUGCUUUGGUCAACUGGGAUCUCUGAGUGUGGCUGGACUGAGGAUGGACUAGAAGGGACCUGGGACUCGAGGGCAUGGCUUCGUGUGCUUGGCACCUGGGAAGGCGUAACGGUGAGCAAGAUCCCAGCAGUAUGUCUGCAGAGGGCAGAAUGACCCAGACACCGAAGAGGGCAAUUUCAUCUGGGAAACACAAGUGAGGGGACUACAUGGGGUGUUUACCCAAUU